GGCCGACUCGUUAGCUCAGUAGGUUAGA
rnacentral:piRNA from 1 species